GUUUUGUUUUUUUCUUUAAGGCAGUCUACUCUUGACAGUAUCCAAGGAGUUGGAGAUAUUUGAACUAGUGGUUGCUGCCACAGUGAGGUCUCAUGGCAGUGAGCAGGUAGUUGCUGGGUACAAGCACCUAGUGGUUCAUGCCUCCCUGAACUCAGCAUGCUGGCCUUCCCUGUGCACCCUUGCCCUUGGGACUCUCUGGACUUCAUCCCCUACAGGCUCACUCAUCCUGCACUUCCCCUUUGGAACACGGAGCGUAGUAUAUCUGGUGGGGUCUUCGCGCAAUGCGUGAAGACCACUUUAUUCUAUGCAGCAAUAAUACUGCAAUAGUAAGUGAGUCACCGGAUUCAAUGUUUAAUUCCCAGGUCUGGCCAUCCCCUGCCAAAAAAAAAAAAAAAGGAAGAAAAGGAAAAAGAACCAAAUCACCACCUGUGCCACUCCAAAGGAAGAAUCCCUGAUCUUUGGGAAUUCCACCCUCUGCAACAUGGAUGGCAAUACUAGGUGAGAAAGCAGGCAGUGAGCACUGUGAGUGCACACAUGUGCAGGGGGCGAUGCAGUGACAGCUGCUCCUGGAAGGGCAGCAAGUAGUACAGUCUGUGGGCUCAGACACCAGUGGGCAGCCAGGGUGAAGUCAAAGACAGGAGAAGGCUAGGUUCAGCAUGCCAUUUGCUUAUGUCUUUCAUCUCUUGGUUAGAAUAGGAUUUCAGGGCUGUACACCCAGGUGCCUAGCAAUUGUCAACAUGGAAUGUGUGCGGUUGGAACAGGAAGGCCAAUGUGAAGACCCCAUGGCCACCCAACUGCAGCUCAUCCCCACUCUGAUGCCUAGACCUGAGUAUGACUCCACUUUCAGCUCCCUGUCCCGUGCACAACAUGCGCAAGGAGCAACAGGUGAAACUAGCAUCUGCAUUCCAGCGGAUGCCUCUUGGGCCCAUAACCUUCCUAAACCUGUUUCCUACCUCUGGGAGGCACAUGGAGCAGCCAGGGGUGGGUCCAGGUGGGACCAGGCUUUGUGCUCCAGGCCUGCUGGUCUGUCCUUCCUGCAAAACACCUAUUGACCAGCUAUGUCAAGUGCCCCCUCUGCUCCCACCCUCCUGGGGUGUAUUGUCCUUAUUGCUCGCUAGACCAUCAUGGCAUCUUGUGAUUUCUUUCAGUUAUUUAAAUCUCAGCUCAGCCCCCCUCUGCUUAAAAAAAAAAAAAAAAUCCCAGUUCCCCAUAGAAACUAAAAGCUCUCUGAAGGAAGAAGAAAGUUUUUCAGGAGCCAUGAAAGCCUGUCUCAACUAUAGGAAAGGUAGGGAGAGACAUGCAGCAGACAGGCUGCUAAUCCCAGAUGGAAAUGCUGGAUCCAAAUAGCUCAAGUCCUCCUGACAUGCUGGGAUCAAGUUCAGACUUUGAAGUCACAUCAGAUAUGAUGGCAUCAAUGUUAGUUCAUCAAAAUUAUAUUAUUUCCAGUGUGACAUGCUUAUCCUGCUUUAAUAUUGCUUUAGGUGAGAUCCAAGCAAUGAAAUAAAUGAGCAGUAGAUUGUUAGGACCAAAAGGGACCUUUGUCUGCCUAAGCCUCGUGGCAGACAAAGCCUGCACAUUCACAGUAUCAGACAGUGAGCACGCGGCCAGCAGGGCCCCACCCUGAGCCAGGUCCUGACUCCCUACCUGGCUUUCUCCCCCCAAAGAGGAUGGUGUCUAACUCAGAUACCAUGGAACCUGGAAUCCUCGAGCCCUCUCCCAGGUCCUCAGAUCUCAGGGACAGGGUGCUGAAAGUGGGACUUGAGGUGUAGGUGUCCUCCUCAGUCCUCUGACACAGCAGGACUUCCAGAGGCUGGGUUGGCCCUGAGACUGCUUCUGGCUCCCUGGUCUCUUACCUGUCAUGAUUGUCCACUGCUUCAUGGGGUUGACUGACCUCAUUCUACUGGGAAAAGCAUGAAGUUCCAGGCUCUGGAGUCAAAUGAGCAAACUUUGAAGGGAACUUGGGGAUGUAGAUGUGGGGGGAAGCAGGUAGCAGAAGGGCUCUGGCAGGAGACCAACCACCCACAGGAAGAGGCCAUAAGUUGCUGACCACAUGAACAGAGGGUCAGCUUGUACAUUCAGAUGAAGCUUCAGCUCCAUCUAAGGCUAUGGUAGCAUCACAAAAAAGGGAGAUUUAAGCCAGGAGCCAUGUGCUGCAGGGAGUAAGGAGAGAAAGUCAACACAUGAUCUGGUCACCCAUUUGUGGAUGAGUGGCAGGGAUGGGCCAGAGGUGAAUUGGGGUGUCGAGAGCUAAGGCCACGAGGCACUGUGGAGUUCUGGAAAGGCAGUCUUCUACCAUGAACAGUGUGGAUGCGUCUCUCCGUGCCUCUGGCCUGCAUGGUUUUUGAUAAGAAACACACUGGCAACCUUAUUGAGCUCCCACCGAUAGCCUCUCUUAUAGCCAUUCUCGUUGUUUUCAGAUUCUUUGUUUUGGCUUUCAGCAGUUUGGUUAUGAUAUGUCUAGGUGUGAAUUUCUGAGUUUAUCCCACUGAAGGAUACAAUGUCGAGGUGUUGAGAUUCUUAGAUAUGUAGAUCAUUGUUUUCCUUCACAUUUUAGAAGUUUAGAGCACUGUUUCUUCACUCCUUCUGACCUUUCCUCUCUCCCCUCCUCUUGGACUCACUGUGCAUCUGUUGGUACAACUUCACUCUCUUUUUGCAUUUAGGUGUGACACUUCCAGAAAUUCUACUUAAGAGGCAUGGAGUUGUGGCUCAGUGGUAGAGCGCUUGCCUGGUGUGAGGCCCUGGGUUUGAUCCUCAGCACUGUAUAUAAUAAAUAAAAAUAAAUUUUAAAAAAGAUCCAUUUACAACUAAAAAAUAUUUUUAGAAAAAGAAAUUCUACUUAAGCGGAGAGAUGCCCUUCCUCCUGGAAUGUGGCUAUAAGAUCUGGCUCUCCACCAACUGUCUUGGGCCUGAGCUGACCUUAAGGAUGGAGACCACAAGUCCGAGAUCUGGGGGCCUGAUGAGUUUCUGGACCCAUCAUGCUUUGGGCCUGCCAACGUCCAGACUACAUUUUCUGAAUUUCUUUUGUGUGAAAGAGAAAUAAACAUAUAUCUGGAUUAGCUAUUAUUAUUUUAGAUUUUUAAGACAUAUGUCAUGUAAGCAAUGGAAUUAUCUAGUGUAAAUUUGCCAUGAAACAUAAGAUACCUCAGUUAUGAGGAGUCAAGAGUUCUUUUUUUUUUUAGAGAGAGAGAGAAGUAUUUAUUAUUUAUUUUUUGGCAGACACAACAUCUUCGUUUGUUAUGUGGUGCUGAGGAUCGAACCCGGGCCGCACGCAUACCAGGCGAGCGCGCUACCGCUUGAGCCACAUCCCCAGCCCCGAGUCAAGAGUUCUUUACAAGGACUUUAUGAUGGUAAAAAUUGUAGGCACAGUCUUGGGCAGACUCAUUUUCCAGACUCAUUUUUCCACUGCUUCCAGUGGGUGUCAAAGACACUGAGUAGGUAUUUAUACAGUGUGGAAAUGACCAUUCAGGUAGGUUCGACAUCAGGAAACAGUGGAGCUUUGGGAUCUCCUAUCAGGAAACCAUGAUUUGCCUUGCUCUUCAAGGUUUUCCUAUAGGCCCCUCCCCCCCAAAUUUGUGGUAAUUUCAGGCCAUUUCUCGAAUUGUUCCUUCUAUAAAACAAAAGUUCCUCAUACUUGUUAACUUCCUAAAUCCUCUACCUUGCUACCAUAGCCUUUAAUGGAGCUGAGGUUUCAUCUGAAUGUAGAAGCUAAGCUAAGUUUCUGUGUUCUGACUUUAUCUUAGGCAUCUGCAUCUCCAGGAAACAGAGUGUGUGCACCAGUGGGCACAGCACUCUUGUUGAAGCUGCAGCUGAAAGUCAUGUCUCCUUAGUGGCUACUCAGCUGAGCUGCUAGUCAACUUCUCUGGUCUCAGCAAUGAAUCAGCCUCCUCUGCCUCUUCCUUGGGUUGGUUUGCCUCAAAGUUCUUCCAAGAUGUUUAUAAAACAUGCAGUUAGUUGGCUUUCAUUUCCUAACCUGAAGAUGUUCCUUACUCUGGCUUUUGCCAUUUUUCAUUCCAUCUCACUAGAGCAUAGUAGAGAAGUCCUUCAAGGAAGAACGAUUUCAACAGAGCAGCUGCCAGCUGCUGUACAUUUUCUUUACCUAGUCCUAAAUAUGAGACCGUCAGCAACACCCUGCUCACUGCUGGCUCAUGUCAUUUAUAUUGCCCUAGGUUUUAUGUUGGAGAAAAGACAAGAAAAUAUGUAGAAACAAGAGGCAAACUUGUUGACUUUUUGACAUUCUUGCUUACACACACAUGGAGGUGGACCUCAACACCUGAAAGUGAGCUGAAGACAGGGAAAGGAAGAGGCAGUUACUAGGCUGGGAACUGCUUCUCACCACUGAAAGUCAGGAGCUCUGAGCUUGGCUGCCUCUGGUUCCUUCACGCACUGAAAUAAAUUCUGGUCUCAUGCAGACUCAUUCUCCAGGACACUGUGGGCGUCAACCAGCCUGGUUCUCAGAUGACUUCAGGCUCCUGGCUAAAAUCUCCCCUUUCUGUCAUGCUACCAUAGCCUUAGAUGGAGCUGAAGCUUCAUCUGAAAUCAUCAGCUGUUUUUGUGUUCUGAUUUUACCUUUUCCACAUAUACCUUAUACAUCACUAUAAGGUUAUACCAUAGUAUAUUAUACUUCCAAGAGCCCUGAAUCAUUUGUUUUGACAACUUUCCCCAGUUUCUCAUGUCAUGAGGACCCCUGCUAAUUGAAUUUACUUUAACUUCUUUUUUUCCAAAAUUUAUUGGAAGGAUGUUUAGUGUGGACAUUAACCAUGUUAUCAUUUUUAUGCUCAUAACCAAACCAGAAUUAAAUUUUACAAUAUCAUGUAGUACUUUUAUCACAACAGCUUGCUACAACUCAGAUACAUUAAAAAUGCUGCCUUCCUAUUGAGUCUGGCUUUUUAAAUUCCAUCAAAAAAGCAAUAAAUUUCUGCUGACAAAAUUGUCUGGGAAGUGCCAUGUGGCUUGACCCAUGGUCCUGCCAUCUGUGAUUUAUUAGGCUCCCAGCUGCAGCCCUUGGGAGAGGCUCUGUGGCAGGUGGCCAUCAUUUGUAUAGCUUGAAAAAUCCCACUAUUCGACACUCUGGCAUUUGGGAACACUCCUGUCAAGACUGGUAGGAUGAAGUCUCAUGAAGAAACACCAAUAGCUGCAGGAGGCCAGUGUUGUGGGCUGCUCAAAGUGGUUCCAAGUCCUCAGCUGGGCCACUGGAAAUUGGCCAUGGCUGGAGAAUACACAAUACAGAAGUUAGAAACACUACAAAUACAAACUAUGCACACUCUGACCCUCUUCUACAGAGCUGGCUCACCAGCACCACCGGACACACCCCAGUCAGGUACCUAGCCAUCACCACGGACUGAAGGUUGUGUCCCAUGCACUGUCAGUGACUGUAGGUGCCUCUGGCCACGCAGAAGCAGAUUUUUCUGUCCAGCUGUGGUGAGUUUGGCUAUGGCCAAACUUUUCCUUUUACUCCUCCUCCCCACCUUUUUUUUUUUUUUUUUGUGGCAAAUCAGACCAUUUAACUCUCAUUUAGGGCCUGCUUAAGGAAAAGAGGCACACAAAAUUGGCUCUGCCCAGAGUGCUAAUGUUGCAGUCCACUUUGCGUAACUUUAUUUUCCAGCCUUCUAGCAGAGAGCCAUGCAGAGCAAUAAGGAAAUAACUCGGGGUCUCCUAAAGGCCACCUUAAAAUGGAUGUAUAGCAACUAAAAAUCUUAGAAUUAUCAGCAAAUAAUGAUGUUUACUUGUGAUGAUGGUAAAAGAGAAAUGGGACCAAAUAAGGUUUUCCUUCAAUUAAACUCCAGAUGGGCAUUUCCUGGUGUCUGAAUCUUCUGACUCACCCAAGCACUAGGCAUAGAUUCCCCUCUGAAUCACCAGGUCGCCAAUGCUGUGGCCUUUCUUCUGGGAGGGGACUUGAUGAUAGCAAGUCCAAAGCUCACAGAUACGAGAGAACAAUUAAUCGACUACGUGGCAGGAGGGACCCAGCCGAGGUGCUCCAGCAACAGGGCAAAGUCCACAGACACUGGCCAAGUGUCUGGGCAUGGGUCCCUCUGCCUCCCGAAACUCGUUGCUGUUGGAGAGACAGAAGGAGUAGAGUGUCUGCCCUUGCUUCUGGUUUUGUCCCCAGUCUAGUCCCCACUUAUGUGUCCUGUGGAUAGUGGAGUUCUUUAGUGUCGAGUUUCCAGGAGACAUAUGAAAUGCUGCCAGUUAUGAGUGCUCAGGGUGCUUGUCAGGGUGUGGAUGCUGGCUCUGACCAAGUACAAAAUCAUGUGGAAGAAAGCAGAGAAAAGAAAAGCAAGAUUAGUGUCUCGAGAUCCUAUCUUGUGGCGGAGGGGGGCGUGGCUGGGGUUGUGGCUCAGUGGUAGAGCGCUUGCCUAAGUGUGUGUGAGGCCCUGGGUUCGAUCCUCAGCACCACAUAAAAAUAAGUAAAUAAAACAAAGGUAUUGUGUCCAUCUACAACUAAAAAAUAAAUAUUUAAACAACGAUCCUAUCUUGCCCUAUUAAGAGAAAACUGCAGGGAUAGAAAAUACUCUGAUAGUGUGACCACUCAAACAGCCUUGGAGGUCCACGGGAAAUAGCAUGUAUUAAAGAAAAAUAUUGAUAAAAAAAUGACAUACUUUCUGCAGCUAUUUCUCUGAAUGAAAGACAGUUGUGCCCUCCACAGUUCCUAUGAGAGCUAUUGAACUUUAAAAGGGCAUUUAUAAGCAGGAAUCAGAUUUGCUGUGGCUCCUGCUCUUGCCAGUGGAGGGCCCUCUGGCUUUUCCUUUUAUGAUCCCAGGUUGAAAGGAAAUUGCCUCUGGAGUGAGUGGAACCUUUGUAUGAGAACAACCCUCUCUGGUUUCUGUUUCCUGUUUGUGUAAGCCACAACCCUGCUCCAGUGACUGGGUUUUCAGUGAAUACGUAAAGCCAGUGCAAGCCCAGUUGCUCUGCUGGACCUGACCUCCAGAAGGACUGACCUGCAGCAAAGGUGACCAAGCAUCUGCAGAAUGAGCUUCAGACAGGCAAAGCCCUGUUUGCUCCAGUGCUCAUCCAGGUCUGGAGCCUGCCCCAGGGUGGGUGCCAAGAUUCGCACAAGAACAAAGUUAAACUGUUCUGACUCCACUGUGAAGACACUCUGCACUCAUAAACCACAUGUGCUUGAC
rnacentral:lncRNA from 1 species